rnacentral:tRNA from 2 species
UGGGGCGUCGUCUAAUGGUAGGACAACGGUCUCUGGAUCCGUCGGUUGGGGUUCAAAUCCCUGCGCCCCAG